AGAGUUUGAUCAUGGCUCAGAUUAAACGCUGGCGGCAUGCCGUUACACAUGCAAGUCGAACGGCAGCACGGGGCAACCUGGUGGCGAGUGGCGGACGGGUGAGUAAAGCAUCGGAACGUAUCCUGGAGUGGGGAUAACGUAGCGAAAGUUACGCUAAUACCGCAUAUUCUGUGAGCAGGAAAGCAGGGGAUCGCAAGACCUUGCGCUCUGGGAGCGGCCGAUGUCGGAUUAGCUAGUUGGUGGGGUAAAGGGCCUACCAAGGCGACGAUCCGUAGCGGGUCUGAGAGGAUGAUCCGCCACACUGGGACUGAGACACGGCCCAGACUCCUACGGGAGGCAGCAGUGGGGAAUUUUGGACAAUGGGCGGAAGCCUGAUCCAGCCAUGCCGCGUGAGUGAAGAAGGCCUUCGGGUUGUAAAGCUCUUUCGGUGGGGAAGAAAUUGCACGGGUUAAUACCCUGUGUAGAUGACGGUACCCGACUAAGAAGCACCGGCUAACUACGUG
rnacentral:rRNA from 1 species